GAUUAUGGCUCAGGAUGAACGCUAGCUACAGGCUUAACACAUGCAAGUCGAGGGGCAGCAUUGGAGUAGCAAUACUCAGAUGGCGACCGGCGCACGGGUGAGUAACACGUAUCCAACCUGCCGCUUACUCGGGGAUAGCCUUUCGAAAGAAAGAUUAAUACCCGAUGGUAUAAAGAGUUCGCAUGUUCUCUUUAUUAAAGAAUUUCGGUAAGCGAUGGGGAUGCGUUCCAUUAGAUAGUUGGCGGGGUAACGGCCCACCAAGUCUACGAUGGAUAGGGGUUCUGAGAGGAAGGUCCCCCACAUUGGAACUGAGACACGGUCCAAACUCCUACGGGAGGCAGCAGUGAGGAAUAUUGGUCAAUGGACGAGAGUCUGAACCAGCCAAAGUAGCGUGAAGGAUGACUGCCCUAUGGGUUGUAAACUUCUUUUAUAAGGGAAUAAAGUGAGGGACGUGUCCCUUUUUGUAUGUACCUUAUGAAUAAGGAUCGGCUAACUCCGUGCCAGCCGCGGC
rnacentral:rRNA from 1 species